rnacentral:rRNA from 1 species
AGUAGGGAAUCUUCCGCAAUGGACGCAAGUCUGACGGAGCAACGCCGCGUGAGUGAUGAAGGUUUUCGGAUCGUAAAGCUCUGUUGCCAGGGACGAAAAGCUAGGAGAGUAACUGCUCUURGUCUGACGGUACCUGAGAAGAAAGCCCCGGCUAACUACGUGCCAGCAGCCGCGGUAAUACGUAGGGGGCAAGCGUUGUCCGGAAUUAUUGGGCGUAAAGCGCGCGCAGGCGGUCAUUUAAGUUUGGUGUAUAAUCCCGGGGCUCAACCCCGGGUCGCAUCGAAAACUGGGUGACUUGAGUGCGGGAGAGGAAAGUGGAAUUCCACGUGUAGCGGUGAAAUGCGUAGAUAUGUGGAGGAACACCAGUGGCGAAGGCGACUUUCUGGACCGUAACUGACGCUGAGGCGCGAAAGCGUGGGGAGCAAACAGGAUUAGAUACCCUGGUAGUCCACGCCGUAAACGAUGAGUGCUAGGUGUCGGGGGUUUCAAUACCCACGGUGCCGAAGUUAACACAGUAAGCACUCCGCCUGGGGAGUACGCUCGCAAGAGUGAAACUCAAAGAAAAUUGACGG